GCUUGGUGUGCAGCAGCAGAGGAGCAAGAGAGCGAAGCCGUACCAGGAGGAGCUCUUCUUUCUGAGGGUGAACAAGAUCACCUGAUUCCUCCACCUCGCGGUGCCUUUUGGAGAGUGACUUCUUUGUUGGUGCUGGCUGAAUGAUUGCUCAUUCAUUCCUCCAUGAUGGGCCGGGCCUUGGAGGACUCAGCCCAGCUGUUCUGCAUGUGCUCUUUGGUGGAAGCCCAGAAGAAGUCAUGAUGAAAAUAUCAAGGACUGUGCUGACCUCGAUAUCCGCAAGACAGUCAAAGUGGUAAUGUACAUUUUUACAGAAAGAUUGGAAUGAUACCGAUUUGGGGCAAGUAAUACCUGAUGUCAGAUAUAUAACACUAAAAUCACACUGUUCACUCAUUUAAACCAGCGUGCUGAAGCAAUAUUUAAAGCAUGUCAUUAUAGUGACUGAUAAUUAAGUAAAAUGUGUUUUUUGAGGAUGUGAUGAGAAAUGAGAUUAUUUUACAUGUGGUUUAAGAUCUCAGGCUGUUGUCAGCCGUGUAAUUGAAGGUUAUUGACAAGUUAUUCUAUCGCAAUUUAUUCUAUAGAUUCUGAAUAUAAUGCAAAUCUUGAGAAAUGAGACAAUCUAUUCUAAUGGUCCUUAUUAGCUGGAGGGUACAGAAGAAUUGUCAUCUGAAGGAAAGAACAAUACUAAUGAGUUGUCACUGUCUUGGGAUUUGCCUCAAGUCACAUGUGAGAACAGAAGAUGCUGCUGGACAAGCUGAUGCUCCACGCAGAACUUGGAAGAAGCUCAAGACGGGUUAAACAGUUACGAAGGGGCUUAAAAGAGACGCUGAUCUGGCCUUUGCUAACUGAGAGGAAAGACACAAUUCCCCUCCUCUUUCCAAGAGCAUGUGAUGUACAGCGCACACCACAGG